rnacentral:lncRNA from 1 species
CAUGUCUCCUUUUAAGUGCCUGAAUCCAAUUCCUACAACUCUGGUGAACUGGACCACAGAGGGGAGGUUCCCUCCCACAUGCUAGCUAACAAAAACCGCUCGGCAGUGGGCCCAGCAUCACGUGAUGCGACUCUAGAAAACGCUUGCUUUGGCCUGAUGACAUGCCCAUCUUUCUCGUGGAUGGCAAGUGCUUCUUGGAAGAGAGGAGCAGUUGGGGAAGCCAUCUCUACGAAGCGGUGCAUGCUUCACAGCAAAUUCUUUGCUGUGAUUUUGAAGUUUUCUCUAGUUGGAAAACGUCUCAGACAGGACCGAAGAGUGAGUUGCCCCUUCCGGAAGCGUCUGUGCAGAGCUGGAAUUACUCGAGUGAAAUUCAUCAUCAGAGGGUCACAGCAUUCUCACUUUGAUAGUUGGGUUAGCCUGGUUUUUGUGCCUGUUGAUGUAAUAGAGGCUACAUCAAAAAGCAUCUUGGGGAGGUAAGGUUUAUUUCAACUUACACUUCUAGGUAACAGUCGGUCACUGAGUAAGGUCCAGGGCAGGAACUCCAGGCAGGAACCUGGAGGCAGGAUCUGAAGCAGAAGCCACGAGGGUGUUGCUUACUGGCUUGUUUCUUAUUACUUGCUCAGCCUGCUUUCUUAUAUGACCCAGGACUACAUGCUCAGGAGUGGCACCAUCCACAGUGAGCUGACCCCCCCACCCAAAUCAUUCAUCCAGAAAAUGCUCCACAGACUUGCCUAGAGAAAUUCGGAUGGGGCGUUUUCUUAAUAUUCCCAAUUCUCAGAUAUAUCUAAGUUUAUGUGGUGAUUUGAAUGAGAACGGUCCCCAAAGGUUUAUAUAUUAUUUGAGUGCUUGGACUGCUGCUGUUGGUGGUGUUUGAGAAGAAUUAGGAGGUGUGGGCCUAUUGGAGAAGAUGUGUUAACUGUGGGCUGGCUUUGAGGCCUCGAAAGCCCAUGUUAUUUUGUUAGCUGUCUGCCUCCUGGUUGUGGGUCAGAUGUGAGCUCUCAGCUGUUUCCGUGCCGUGGACUCACCCUCAGAAACGAAAUCCCACUGGAUGCUUUCCUCUAUAAUUUGAUUUGGUCCUGGGGCUUUGUCACAGCAGUAGAAAAGUAAAUAAGGCAGUUUGUACCAAGUUGACAAAAACUAACGUGCAGUGUUUCACUUCAGCUAAAUGAAGACUCCCUUUUUACUUCAACACUAACCUCUAAAAAUAUUUGUGGUCAGAUGUAUUAAAAUACACACACAAGGUUAUAGACGAAGUUAUUGGGGAGAGGGACACAAAACAGUAUAGGCAGAAGUAAAAAAAAAAUCUUACAAAUGAGUGAUUUCCAAUUUUGUUGUCUGGCAAAAUUAAUUUAUUUAUACGCGUCUCACUCUUUUUUAAUCCAGGCCAGCCUAACUUUCAGCCAUCUUGUCUCAGCUCUUCCAGUGCUGGCUUGCGGGAGUGACGUGGUGUGGUGUUCUGAAGGCGAAUGCUCCACAUAGGCUCACGGAUUUGAAUAUCUGGUCACCGUUUGGUGGUGAUGUUUGGGUGUGUUGAGAAGGUGUGCUAGAGGAAGAGCGUCACUGGGCUGGGCUUUCAGAGUGUAAGACUAACGCCAUUUGUAGGUUGUUCUCUCUGCUUCAUGCCUGUGGGUCAGGCUGUGAGCCUGCUGCUCCGGCUGCCACGCCUGGCACUUCCCCGUGAUGUGAUGGGAUCUUGUGACUCUGGAGCCAUCAGCCCAGACAAACCUUUCCUACACAGCCUUGUCGUGGCGUCUAUCACAGUUAUAGAUGGGUAACUAAUGCAACCACACCCGGGGCUGGCAGGACUCUGGAGAAGUAAAUGCUGGGAUUCAAACCCUGGCAAAUUUCUCAUUGAUCUCUGCUUAUUUAAGAAAGGAAGAGAGCCAGAUCGAAUAUGACGGAAAUGAAUUACUGUAGAGUGGCAAGUGGCUGAUAAGAAACAAAAGCUAAAUAAAAUAAAUCCUAGAUUUAAAGAUGCAUUAUGGGUAGGUAAGAUGAUAUCAGUGAGGUUCAUUUGGGUAAGUUACUCAUCCCCCCUACCCAAAAAACAAAACAAAACAAAAGAGGAACAUUAGACAUACAGAGUGGCGGCCUAUGCCUUUCCUGUGUGUGUGAGCAAUGUUUAUUGGUAUUCGUAGUCUGUGUGGGUGCUCACCACUGUCACUGAGGCAGCAUUUCUCAAUGGACCCUGAAGCUCAUGGACAUGACUGGUCUGGUUGGCCAGCUUGCUCUGGAGACCCUGGCUCUGCUUUCUAAUGCUAGGAUUACAAAUGAACUCCACACUUGCCUGACAUUUAUUCUGGGUGUACAAACUCUGGUCUUCAUUCCACAGCAACCCUGUAGUUUUCAAACCAUCUCCUGGGUUGGGGAUUUAGCUCAGUGGUAGAGCGCUUGCCUAGCAAGCGCAAGGCCCUGGGUUCGGUCCCCAGCUCUGAAGAAAAAAAAAAAAAGAUCUGUAGUCAAACCAUCUCCUUAGCCCAAACAGCUCGUUAAAAAUAAUCUUUUUAUUUGAAAAUUUCAUACAUGUAAUAUGUUUUUGACCUUACCUACCCUACUUCCCUCUACCUUCCCCCAGAGACCUUCAAAUCCAUUUUCCUCUCAACUUCAUGUCCUCUUAAAAUUAUUAGAGUCUUGACCAAUUAUUAUUUUAAGAUUUAUUUCUAUUACUUUUAGAUAUCUAUGCGUGUGUCUCUGGGUGAGUUGUGUACGUGUGAGUGCACGUACUCAACAAGGUCAGAAGUGGGAGAUUUCCCUGGAGCUUAGAGAGUUGUGAGCCACUCAGUCCGAGUGCUGGGAGUCAAACUUGGGUCCUUAGAAAGAGCAGUAUAUGUUCCUAACCACUGACCCAUCUUUCCAGCUCCUGAGUCUAGUUGCUGUUGGCCCUGUGUACAUGGGUGUGAGGCCACCCACUGGGGUGAGUCAUGACCACAAAGGAAAGCUACUCUCAUUCUUCAGCAGCUCUCAACUGUCGGUAGCUCCUGAGUGAUCCCCCAGGGGUCGCUUUGCCAGCCUUGCUGGAACUCUGACUGGCUUGCUCACACAAGUCCUCAUAGCUUAUUUUCAGUGUUUGAACUAAUGAUGUUUCCAGAUAUGUGUUUCCAAUAGAGGCACAUCAUGCAGCUUUGGCCAAGAUAGUUCCUGUAAAACUAUGAAGAGGCAAGACAAAUAUGAAAAACACAUUGCUGUCAUUAAUAUCAGAGAUUCAUAUUAAAAAUAAAUCCAUUUCCACUAACUAUGAUAGCUGCAACACAAAGUACAGUACCUGAUGCAGGUGAGUAAAAACGGCAACGAAUAAAUAUGUGUUAUUCAAAAAGGGAAAAAUUUUACUUCUUGGCAUUAUCAAAGAAAACCAUGAAAGGUUUGCUGGAAAGAAUAAAUAUGUGUGGAUCCAGCCAUCUCACUCUCCAAAACUGUAAACAUUUGCAAAAUUUUCCUUCAUCUAUUAAUAUAUCUGCAGAGCAGCCAGCCCACACAGACCUGGGGCACUCACAUGUCAGAAUAUUCCAUAAAGAUCUGGGAACAGAUAUUUUUGGCAGAAAGAAAUACUUAAUGUGCCGAGAAUGACUGCCUACGAAGUAAUUCAGGGUUACAGACUGAGUCAGGGACUCCUUGCAAUGACGAGUGUCAGUCUACAACAUUCCUCACAACGUUCGAAUCGUUGAUUACAGACUUGUCCAACAAGAGGAGCUCUUUUUGUUUUCUGUUGCCAAAUAGGUGGCAAAAUAUGAAGGGGAGGUAACAGCGAACUUCUAAAGCUGCUUCACAACACUAUCUUAAUGCCUGUUUUUUACAGUGAAGGAGAGCUAGGUGUGGUGGCCCUUGCCUGUAACCCCAGCACUGGAGAGGCUUCACUGACCUGGUAAAUUCCAGGUCUAUGUGAGAUUUAACAUCUUUAAAAAACGGAGGAGCAUGGCUCCAGGGGAACGCCACCCAAAGCUGCUGUCUGCGUGCCAACUGUGGACGGACAGAAGACAGACAGAUAGACAGUUUCUCUCAGCACUUUCCCCUGUGCAAUGAACCUUCAGAGUUGAUCCCGAACGGCAGCCCCACGAACAGGAAAGGUUGAUCAAACCUUUUAUACCUCAGUGGCUGUGGGCAGCCCUGAAUGUCCUUUUAGAAGCCAUCAGACAAAAUCUAAACAUGUCAUCUGUGGGCUUAUUCGUGGGUUUCUGAAAUCUGCCGUUUUUGUAGAUGGGAGGUUGCAUCCAAGUCCAUUUUGUGCCCUUUCCUCUACAUACCUGCUCAGCUAUCACUUCCUGCCAGAGGUCUUCUCUGAUCAUCAUCUCCAGCCAGGCCUCACCCUCAAAAUAUUCUCAUCAUUGCUUGCCGCUGAGUUCACGACAAUCCAUCAUUACCUUGUUUAUCUGCUCAAGUUCACCUACUCAAUUAGAAGGCAAAUUUCCCCAAGAGCAGGAUCAGGGCUUCCUGUGCUUUGAACUUUGAACGGGGGCUUCCUCAGAUACUCUGGGAUUAAAGUACACGCCUAUGAUUUGACUGACUCACUCACGCGCUCGCUCUCUGUCUUCUUCUUCUUCCUCUCUCUCUCCCUCCCUUCCUCCCUUUUUUUCUCUCUCUCUCUCUUCCUUCCCCUACCUCUCUCCCUGUGUGUGUGUGUGUGUGUGUGUGUGUGUGUGUGUGUGUGUGUGUGUGUGUGUGUGGUGUGCGUGUUGUGUACAGGUCUCACUGUGAUAAUUCAAACUCCUUCAGUCUGCCAAGGCUCCAGGGUACCAGUGACAACGGACCUACAGUAUCACACCUGUUUUUAUGCUGGGAAUGGCACCCAGGGCUACAGGUGCGCUAAGUAAGCACCCGAUUAACUGCGUACAGCCUCAGCUGUAAAUUUCUUUAAAAACAGGUAUUUCCAUUUCCUUCGGCCACAUCCACCCUCCACGUCCUUUCCCACUGACUGCGCGCCAGGUGCCUCGCUUACCCAAAACCUCCCACCAGACCGUUUAGAAGCCACCUGGUUCAGUACGGUUACGAAACGCUCGGAUACCAGCGCUCGGGACCAGGCCUGGCUUGAGCCGGUGCGUGCCCAGCGUGUCGCCCUUCCUGUCAGCCGCUCCAUCAUCUGGUGCGAGCCAGGCGCUCCGCGGUCCAGCCAGU